rnacentral:other from 13 species
GAAAAUGUGUGAUCUGAUUAGAAGUAAGAAAAUUCCUAGUUAUAAUAUUUUUAAUACUGCUACAUUUUUAAGACCCUUAGUUAUUUAGCUUUACCGCCCAGGAUGGGGUGCAGCGUUCCUGCAAUAUCCAGGGCACCUAGGUGCAGCCUUGUAGUUUUAGUGGACUUUAGGCUAAAGAAUUUCACUAGCAAAUAAUAAU